AUGGGGCAGCAGUCUAGCGCUUUUCCCCGUCGCCAAACGACCCAGGAAUCUCCCGCCGGCGGCGAAAUCCCUAGUGCGGAAGCUGUGCUGUUGAGCCUGGAGAAGGUUCUUGCUGAUCUGGAAGCGCAUGGGAGAGAGCUGACCAAGGUGGUCACCGGGAGCUUGGAGGAUGAACAGUCGUGUCAUAGGAUCGAAUGCAACGGAUUUGUCCAAGGGUUUCUCCUGGAUCAAAUCGCGCCAUUGCGCCACCGGCUGUCGUCUGAGAAGAAGAUUGAGGAUCAUCUCAGGUCCAGGGCCAAAGAGAAAAGUAAUCGCGCCGGCAGAUUGGAGUCUGAUGGUGGUGGUUAUGAGUCUGAAUUCAGAUCACAGAGGGAGGCAGGGUCGGUGAUGUUCAUGGGUUUGGACAACAUUACCAAUGGGGACAGGAAGAUGGUCGAAUCAGCCAAGUCAAUGCUCCAACCUGCAUAUCCCAGCACCAACACAUUGGAUUGUGGCGGCGACGACAAGAAGGAUGAGAUGGACAUGCGCAAAUCAGACGCGUGUUGGACUGUGAAAUCGGAUAAGUUGUUGCUCAAAUCUGCAGGCACAAUUGGCAGAUGCUCUGUCCAAGGCUGUCCUGAUCAUGACGAGAUGGACACACUAUUGGCUAAGGAGAUGGCUAAUGAAGCAGAGAGAUUCGCUUCAUAUGUUCGCAGCUGGGAAUAUGCGUGGGGCAGAACGUGCGGCUUCUUCAGAGACAUGACGACCCUGAGUUCCAUACAGUUUACGCACAACACGCCCAGACUCAACAGCGGUCCUGGGUCUGCCACGCGAACAUUGCAGAUCUUCUCCAUCAAGCUCGCAGAAAUAGCCGGUGGCCUCAAGUGGCCAUUGUCUGUGUAUGGCGUGGUUGCUGCCCGAGACGUCGCGGAUCACAACCGCAACCUUCUCUUCUCUCGUAAUAUGAGCCAGGCCCAAGAACUGAAAGAAGAUGAUAGAAUUUUGCGCUUGAUUGGCCCGUCCCGUGCAAUUGCGUUUACGGAUAGAUUUGACUUUGAAAUCCAACUGAAAGUAAAAGGCACGGGUACAGCCAAGUCACAAGAUAAAGCAUUGAUCAGCUCUGCAGACUGUUACGACGGCGAAUAUGGACCUGCCAUGUCAACCUUUUCUCUCGGCAGCUCGGCCACGCCGGAACGGGCUGGGGCGCGGACGCGCGAGGUGUCGGCCUUGACGUUGUGGGCGCACGGCAGCUCGGCCUCGCCGGAGCGGGCGCGCGGCGCGCGCGAACGCACGGCAGCUCGGCAGCUCGGCCAUGCCGGAACGGGCUGGGGCACGGACGCGCGAGGUGUCGGCCUUGACGUUGUGGGCGCACGGCAGCUGGCCUCGCCGGAGCGGGCGCGCGGCAGUUCGGCCACGCCGGAGCGGGCAGGGGCGGACGCACUGGAUCUUGGUCUUGACGGAGUGGGCGCACGACAGCUUGGCCUCGCCGGAGCUGGCUGGUUCGUGGGCGUGCGGGAUUUCGGCCUCGCCGGAGCGGGCUGGGCCGUGGGCGCACGGCAGCUCGACCUCGCCGGAGCUGCGUAG
rnacentral:rRNA from 1 species